rnacentral:sRNA from 12 species
CCUUUGGAGCGAUAUAGAAAAACUAGAUUAGCUUAGUUUUUAGUGAAAUAGGUCGCCAUGAAUUAGGAA